UCCCCAAGCCUGUUAGGUUUUCUUCUUUAGCUUUACCAAGAAACGAAAGUUUUGAAUGCAAUACAAGUCUCUCUUCAAGCACAGGAGCAGAUGGGGGUUUAAGUGCAGAUGCUGUCGUAGACAAUUCUUGGUGUAAUUUCAAGGAUGGUGAUGAUGGGAUUAGCUUUCUUGUUGGUGAUGUUGAACAUGAUAUUGUUAACGGCACAGAUAUCGAAUGCCAGACUCUUUUACCUACAGAAAACCAUCUAGAGAAGCUCUAUGACGAGUAUCUGCAGCUCCUGAAGACGGAUGA
rnacentral:misc_RNA from 1 species